UACGUAGGGGGCGAGCGUUGUCCGAAGUUACUGGGCGUAAAGAGCUCGUAGGCGGUGUGUCACGUCGUUCGUGAAAACCUGCAGCUUAACUGUGGGCGUGCGGUCGAUACGGGCAUCACUGGAGUUCGGCAGGGGAGACUGGAAUUCCUGGUGUAGCGGUGAAAUGCGCAGAUAUCAGGAGGAACACCGGUGGCGAAGGCGGGUCUCUGGGC
rnacentral:rRNA from 1 species